rnacentral:rRNA from 1 species
GACGGAGGGCGCAAGCGUUGUUCGGAAUUACUGGGCGUAAAGCGCGCGCAGGCGGGAAGGUAAGUCUGGAGUGAAAUUCCGGGGCUCAACUCCGGAGCUGCUUUGGAUACUGUCUUUCUAGGGACCGGUAGAGGCCGGUGGAAUUCCCGGUGUAGCGGUGGAAUGCGCAGAUAUCGGGAGGAGCACCAGUAGCGAAGGCGGCACUCUGGGCCGGUACUGACGCUGAGGAGCGAAAGCGUGGGGAGCGAACAGG